UACGGAGGGAGCUAGCGUUAUUCGGAAUUACUGGGCGUAAAGCGCACGUAGGCGGCUUUGUAAGUAAGAGGUGAAGCCCAGAGCUCAACUCUGGAAUUGCCUUUAGACUGCAUCGCUUGAAUCAUGGAGAGGUCAGUGGAAUUCCGAGUGUAGAGGUGAAAUUCGUAGAUAUUCGGAAGAACACCAGUGGCGAAGGCGGCUGACUGGACAUGUAUUGACGCUGAGGUGCGAAAGCGUGGGAGCAAACAGG
rnacentral:rRNA from 1 species